rnacentral:rRNA from 1 species
ACGUACACUCCUACGGGAGGCAGCAGUGGGGAAUUUUGGACAAUGGGCGCAAGCCUGAUCCAGCCAUGCCGCGUGCGGGAAGAAGGCCUUCGGGUUGUAAACCGCUUUUGUCAGGGAAGAAAAGGUUCUGGCUAAUACCUGGGACUCAUGACGGUACCUGAAGAAUAAGCACCGGCUAACUACGUGCCAGCAGCCGCGGUAAUACGUAGGGUGCAAGCGUUAAUCGGAAUUACUGGGCGUAAAGCGUGCGCAGGCGGUUAUGCAAGACAGAGGUGAAAUCCCCGGGCUCAACCUGGGAACUGCCUUUGUGACUGCAUGGCUAGAGUACGGUAGAGGGGGAUGGAAUUCCGCGUGUAGCAGUGAAAUGCGUAGAUAUGCGGAGGAACACCGAUGGCGAAGGCAAUCCCCUGGACCUGUACUGACGCUCAUGCACGAAAGCGUGGGGAGCAAACAGGAUUAGAUACCCGAGUAGUCCC